GGCUCCACCCCCGGCCCCCAGUCCAAGCCAGAGGCCCAUCCAGGGACCCAGGCAGGGUGGCCUCCGCCGUCACCCCAAGAUGCCGCGUGUCCUCCCCCCUCCCUCCCGUUCCUCGGAGACUGCGGGGCGUUGGCCACACCUUCCGUUUCCGGCCUCCUCUCAGCCGGGCAUCUCGCUGCUCCAGGGGCCCCUCCCUGUGGGACCGCAGUCAGAGCGAGGGAGCAUCGGAACCCAGCGGGCCCGGGUCCCUCCUGAAGUGAUCACAGGCCAAGCAGGGGCCGGGGCUGCAGCAGAAACUGAGUGAGGGGCCCCCGGGCAUAGGAGGGAGGGCCAUAGGAGGACCGUAGCGGGGAGGAAGGCCCUGAGUUGGCAUUUUCGGGUUUGCGUUCGGAGACAAUUAGGAGCUGAAUUAUUAAAGAUGUGUGAGAGGAGAGGCUGGUUUUAAGAAAGCAUGAGUAAGCAGGACUCUGUCACAGCCGAGCACAGGAUCGAAGGCGAUCAAUCGUCAUAAUGGCUGUAAAUAUUUACUCGGCUUAAUUGUGGAUGUGUGUGCCAGCCCUGUGCUUGACGCAGGAGUCCCUGCGCGACAGGCCCCCAUCAGGCUGCCCAGAGGAAAGCAGCCUCAGCCCCAGCGCUUGGAGCCGGGCCAGCCCUGUGUGAGGGGUCCCCAUGCCAUAGGCUCCCCAGGGCAUGGGCUCUGAAGUGCCCUCUUAGCCUGGUCACAUCUCAUGGGCUGCUCGGCCUCUGGACCUCAGACUCAUCUGUGAAAUGGGUUGACGGAGUCCACCUCAGGGCACACAGCCCUCCCAGGGCAGCGUCUCGGGUUGGCGGGCAGCGGGGUCUGGCUUUCAAUAAGGGCAAGUCCCGUUGGCCUCGGGGCCCAGUGGUCUGGAGGUGGGGCCUGUACAGGAUGCUUAGGGCUCUGGUCUAACAGGAUGCUUGCUUAGUUAAAAUACAGGAUCAGCUUCAGCCUCAGAAGUGGGAUGCUCUCAACAGGGGUCCCAUAAAUGUGAGAUGGGGCUGCUGUGGGGCCGCCCUGCAGCCUUGAUCUGGGAGCCAGCAUGUUAAUGAUGCACUCACUGUGUACUGGGCACCCUGGGCUGAGUGCUGCUUCUUAUUUAAUCUUCACAGCAACCCAGAAAGGAGAAUUUAUCUAUUUUCACUCCCCAUUUUACAGGUGAGGAAACCGAGACUAGAGAGGUGGAAUGACUUGCCUAAGGUCACAAAGCUGGUAAGUGGCAGAGGCAGAACUAGAGUCUAGGUCCCUCUCACCCUUUCUAGGAACCCCUGGGCUGUGCUGAGACCUACCCUUUCUCUGCGCUCUUCUCCUCUACCGUCCUUCCACUGGACCCUAAGAGGUGCCCCGGCCCCAGCCAGCUGCCCGCAUGCCUGAGGGCAUAUCUAGAGGCCACAGCUGACAGGGAGCCCGGAUUCUGUUUGCUCCUCUGCCAGGCACAUUCUUCCCAGCAGCCCCUGCACUCCGAGAUCCAUGCUAGAAGGGGGAUGCAUGGGCCAGGCUGUCCCACGGGGCACUCAGCUGAUCUCUAAGGACCCCCUAGGGGCUUCUCUGGAGGCCCAGUGGCUAAGACUCCCCGCUUCCACAGCAGGAGGCCUGGGUUCCAUCCCUGGUUGUGAAACUAAGAUCCCUCAUGCUACACAGUGUGGCAAAAAAAUUAAAAUAAAAUAAGGACCCUCUCAUCACAGACUGAGGCUGUUGCUGCAAGACAGUACCUGGUCUCUUCUCCGGAAACACAGGUGGUCUUGAAGCCCACAAGGACGAUGGAGGACAUGUAGAUGGUGAGCAAGUACACACACACAGGCUCACACACACACUCUUACACACAAACACUUGCACACAUGUGCAGCUGAGAUAGCAUGCGGUGGUUCCCAGCCUCCCUGCAGACUCGUCUCCACCACCUCCCUCUGAGUCCUGUGCUUAGAAAGAGCCCAGCCCACACCGCACACCAAUGCCCUCCUUGGAGACAGAACCCUAGCAUCCCCGAGUCCCUGUAUUUCCUGAGAGAGACACUGAGGCUGAGACAGCCUCGUGGAGUAGAGGUCAGAGCACAGACCUGGGAGUUCCCAGACCCAGACCUUGGGCAGCUCACCUUCUCUUUCCAGACUGUUUCCAUUUGUGCCGCAGGUCUGGGGGAGGGGUGGAGCCUGCUCUUGGAUUCCCUUCCCAGGCCCAGGGAAGAUGGGGGAGGGAGGAUUCUGAGAUCCUCGUGGAGGGCGAGGAUAAACUGCACCCUGACCCUUGCCUCUGACCCCACAUCCACCCAGACGGUGCAGGGAACCCGGAGCUCCAGGCUUGUCUAGCACAGGCGGCAGCAGGCGCUCACAUCUCCAGGACUCAGGCCUGGUCCUGAAGGCCCAACCACGGCAGGUUUCCAGGAGGUGCUUCGCAGAUGUGAUACAGACAGAGUAAAGAGACAACGUGGGCGACUGGUUAAUCCCACCAGGGGACGCUUGGCCACGCAGGGACAAGAAAACUCUCCUGCUCCAGUGGUUCAGUGGUAAAGAGCCUGCCUGCAAAGCAGACUUGCUGGAGACACGGGUUCAAUCCCUGGGCCAGGAAGGUCUCCACGAGAAGGAAAUGGCAAUCCACUCUAGUGUUCUUGCCUGGA